GACAGAGGGUGCAAACGUUGUUCGGAAUUACUGGGCGUAAAGCGUGUGUAGGCUGCUACAUAAGUCGGAUGUGAAAGCCCCGGGCUCAACCCGGGAAGUGCACUCGAUACUGCGUAGCUUGAGUCUCGGAGAGGUUGGUGGAAUUCUCGGUGUAGAGGUGAAAUUCGUAGAUAUCGAGAGGAACACCGGUGGCGAAGGCGGUUCUCUGGGACGGUACUGACGCUGAGACGCGAAAGCGUGGGGAGCGAACAGG
rnacentral:rRNA from 1 species